rnacentral:lncRNA from 1 species
UGUCAUCACAAACAGAGAUUUAUGAACUCCAACUCUAUGGAAACAGAAGGCAGGAUGAAUUAUGAGAAGUUCCAGGUUUGCAGCACUUUCUUCAAUAAUUAGCCUAAGGUAGGGAGGAGGGAGAAAUUAACCUCACUAAACUCCCAUUUUACAUAACCCAAAUGUACAUUGCUAACACCUGGCUGAGUACAGAAAUUCAUCUUGAGGUGAUCCAGUUUAAAACCCAUUUGUAAAUUCAGUCUGAAGGCCUUCAAGUGAAAGGGAUGAAGGGCUAGAAAACACAAAGCGGGGAGCAGGCAGCCCCUCCACGUGGCAGCCCGGAUGGCUUGACAGGGCCUCUCCAGGGCUGAUGGAUGCAUCUCUGAGAUGGUCCACAGGUGCAAUUUCAUCAUCUAUCAGAAUGGGAGACCACACCAGAUCAGACUAGAUCACCUCUAUGAUCCAUUUUAACUUCAAAGUACUUAACUUUGGAAGUUGGCUCCUAAUGGCUGAGGCGUGCGAUGAGAUGGAACCACAUUCAGCAAGGACCGACCUGAAUAUAACGAGUUGUUUAGGGACGUGGCCUCAGCUCGUUAGUGCCAAUACAUGCAGGAAGCCACAUGAAACACCCUGGUGCGAAUUUCUUUCUUAUUUUUCUUUUUCCUUAAUGGACAUUUGCUUUGUCAGACUUGUAUUACAGUGGAGUUAUAAAUAUAGAAAUGAAAUAUUGAUUACAUGUCUCAACUCAUCCACAACUUGUGCGGAUCACACAGCACACAGCAGCAGGGACCGAGGGGUGGGGCACGUGAGCACUUGCAGAAACUGAACUCUCUUGAAUGGCUCUUUGGCUGAAAUUCAUUUUCAAAAACCAUUUUCUCACUAGCCUAUUUCAAGAACCGGAAGUAAGGUUUAGGAAAGACGUUUUCCCAUGAAAAUUAGGGCCCUGUCAUCCUGCAGAUCCUUUCCUUCCCACCCACAGAGCUGGUCAGUCUCCAUUCAUUUGGGAACCACAGGCAUGCAGAAUAACGAUGGUUGCCCAGACGGUGGCUGGGAGAGGCCCACUGCCACCCAGGCGUCAACACAGCUCUCAGCUGCAAAUAGCAAGCAAGCAGCAAAAGAAUAACCAGGGCUUGUUUUGAUUCCAAGCAGAAUGCAAAUAAUGCAUUCCCUAGACGGUAGGCCAAAACAACCAGAAACCUAAACAAUGCGGGAGAAAGAAGUUUCAGAAGAGCAAGCAGCUAAUGAUUCCUCUCAACUUGUUCUGGGGCAGAAACCUUGUUAGUUUUUGAUGGGUAACCCUGGUGGAUGCCACCUUAACCACAUUAUAAAAACCAAUAUUUGGACAAAUUCACAUCAAGAGACUCCUGAUAUGAUUCACUGAGAGGGACACGGCAUCAUUUUUGUGAUAUUCCUGCCCAAAAUUCAUCAGCAGAAUCGAAGCAUGAGGAAAUAGCAAACUCAACUUGAAGGACAGUCUACAAAAUAAUGGACUUUCAUUCUUUAAAAGGUCAAGUUCAAGAGGGGCAGGCCCCGUGGCCGAGUGGUUAAGUUUGCGCGCUCCGCUGCAGGUGGCCCAGUGUUUUGUUGGUUCGAAUCCUGGGCGCAGACAUGGCACUGCUCAUCAAGCCACGCUGAGGCAGCAUCCCACAUGCCACAACUAGAAGGACCCACAACGAAGAAUAUACAACUAUGUACCGGGGGGCUUUGGGGAGAAAAAGGAAAAAAAUAAAAUCUUUAAAAAAAAAGGUCA